rnacentral:rRNA from 1 species
AGUGAACGCUGGCGGUAGGCCUAACACAUGCAAGUCGAACGGCAGCACAGUAAGAGCUUGCUCUUACGGGUGGCGAGUGGCGGACGGGUGAGGAAUACAUCGGAAUCUACUUUUUCGUGGGGGAUAACGUAGGGAAACUUACGCUAAUACCGCAUACGACCUACGGAUGAAAGCAGGGGAUCUUCGGACCUUGCGCGAAUGAAUGAGCCGAUGUCGGAUUAGCUAGUUGGCGGGGUAAAGGCCCACCAAGGCGACGAUCCGUAGCUGGUCUGAGAGGAUGAUCAGCCACACUGGAACUGAGACACGGUCCAGACUCCUACGGGAGGCAGCAGUGGGGAAUAUUGGACAAUGGGCGCAAGCCUGAUCCAGCCAUACCGCGUGGGUGAAGAAGGCCGUCGGGUUGUAAAGCCCUUUUGUUGGGAAAGAAAAGCAGCAGGUUAAUACCCCGCUGUUCUGACGGUACCCAAAGAAUAAGCACCGGCUAACUUCG